rnacentral:tRNA from 2 species
CCGAUCUUAGCUCAGUUGGUAGAGCGGAGGACUGUAGUAGUUACAAAAUAUCCUUAGGUCACUGGUUCGAAUCCGGUAGGUCGGA